GUUCGAUUCUGCUGCACAUGUACUAAAAUUGGAAUAAUGCCCAGAUUGGCAUGGCCUUUGCUCGAGGAUGACAUGCAAAUUCUGGUUUGUUUUUGUUUGUUU
ensembl:snRNA U6 U6 spliceosomal RNA